rnacentral:tRNA from 1 species
UAGGCUGAAGUCCGCUGGAUUGGUCGUUUAGUUGUUAACUAAUAUUUUUGCGGGAUCGAGGCCCGUCAGCUUGAG